rnacentral:lncRNA from 10 species
AGGCCUACAGCUGCCAUGCUCCAGUGCGGACAGACAAUCGGACGGGGUAAGCCGGGGCGGGCUGCUUUUCCCGCUGUCCUUGAGUGUUGAGUGGCUCUCUCGCUCUCACUCUCUCUUCUCCUGUCUCUCUGUCUCUCUCUCUGUCUCCCCCUGCCACCCCCACCACCCUCCCUGCCAGGAUCCCCCAGGGAUCGGGGAUGGAGGGCCUUCAAGGUCAGGAGGUGCGCUGAUGCCUGUCGGAAAAGGUGGCCGAGGAAGGACUCUCUAACGAGGUGCUGGGAUAUCCAUGGGAAGGGAGCUGGAGCUCUCAGGAAUCUUGUCUUUAUGUUUGCUUCCUCAAUUGAGCUGCACAAAGCCUGAAUUGCCCAUUCAGCGCAGCCGGACAAAAGGUUGGCGUUGCACGGUCCCCUUGCAUUUGUAGUCAAACAGUUAGGGACUUAAAUCGAGUCGUCAUGAUGGAGAAAGAGGUGGACAAAGCCCAUAGAAUUGCCAUCAGCAAACAUUUUCCUGUGUCAUAUUAGCCAGUUUCCAUGGCUCCCCCUGGCCUGCGGACAAUGGGACAAGUUUGCACACUUGGCUACUGUCACCGUGCCAACGCCGGCGGGGCUGCAAGCAGGGCCACUCUGAGCAAGCAAGGGAGCCCAGAGCCGCUGUUGGCCCUGCCCACCAACUGGCCAGAGGGAAGGCCUUCUGUGAUUUGUGGGGGCUGCAUCAUUCCUCUCUCCAGAAGAUCUUCUCUCUUCUAAGGGCAUCAAGACAUUUUAGAGCCACUCAGCUCAGCUCCCAGCUUCCUUGAGAUCCCACGGCACCUGCAGCCCUGCUGGCCCAUUCUGCACUGCCCGCUCAUGAAGCUGUCUCUCCUUUCUUAGCCAGUAGUAAGCCUCCCCACCAGGCCCGUGGACUCCGUGGGAGGUGAGCUCCAGAAGGGAAGGGAGUUCUUUCACAGCUUUCUGUCUCUGUAUCUCCUGUGACUUGAAUGGACUCAGCACACAGCAGGCCUGAGUGAAGGAUGCUUGUGGUUGCUAUGGCUUACAUGACAACGAAUUGUCUGUAAUCCUACAGGACUAUGGCACAUGAAAGCUGGAAGCGCUUCUUUCCGACUGCAUCGCCCAGCACCAGAGCCCGAGUUCUGUAAAGCUCUGUUAAAGGCACAUGAGCUGUGCUGGCUUCAACUGCCCUGAACUUGGAUAAGCUGGGCCGCUGAUGGACCCUUCCCAACCGGUUGUUGCUGCCUUGGUUUCCCGACAGUCCACUGUGCUGACCCUGCAGCAGGGACUCCCAGCUUUGCAUCAACUCCAUUCAACACCUACUGUGUGCAGGGACCAGAGGGUGUGGAGGUGGCAUUCCCUGCUUUAUCUUGAUAAGUAAACGUUUGUCUCCUGCCCACUCAUCAGUGAAGCAGAACAACUACCUAGCAGUCUCCUGGGAGCCACCCCUCCAGAACCUCUGGAUGUCAACAGACACCAUCUACUUAUAGGAUUCAGCCAGCACAUGUGUAGACUGGAGCUGCAAGUGAGAAGAGGCAUCUGGCAGGGCAUGCACAGGCCAAGCCUUAGGGACCCAAGGAGCUCAUCUGGGGCAGUGGGUUUUCAAAUUGCUUUGAAGCAGAGAUGCCCAUUUAAAAAUAUGUGGAGAUUCAGCCGGGCGCAGUGGCUCACGCCUGUAAUCCCAGCACUUUGGGAGGCCGACACGGAUGGAUCACCUGAGGUCAGGAGUUCGAGACCAGCCUGGCCAACAUGGUGAAACCCCGUCUCUACUAAAAACACAAAAAUUAGCUAGGUGUGGUGGCGGGUGCCUGUAAUCCCAGCUACUCGGGAGGCUGAGGCAGGAGAAUCAUUUGAACCCAGGAGGCAGAUGUUGCAGUGAGCUGAGAUUGUGCCAUUGCACUCCAGCCUGGGGGACAAGAGUGAGACUUCAUCUCAAAAAAAAAAAAUGUGGAGAUUCAACAUGUAAAACCAUGACAACUAUGGGCUAUGAGUACAAAUUUAUUUUCCAUGCUCAAAUGCAUACCUUCUACUUAUUUGCAAACAAUGCAUUAGAACAAGGAGUCUGUUCUGAUGAUAUAAAACUUUGAAAUCAGGAGAUAUGGAUUAUGGUCUCACAUCAGCCAUCAGCCAUACUUUGUUUUGGUUGCAGAACAUUUACAAAAUCUUGGUUUAGAGAGAGAAGCAGUUGAGAUGUCAACUUUCUAAAAAAGUUUAUCUUUUAAUUAAUUUAUUUUUUGAGAUAGAGUCUCGCUCUGUCACCCAGGCUCUAGUGCAAUGGUGCGAUCUCGGCUCACUGCAACCUCUGCUUCCCAGGUUCAAGUGAUUCUCCUGCCUCAGCCUCCUGAGUAGCUGGGAUUACAGACGUGUGCCACCACCCCUGGCUAAUUUUUGUAUUUUUAGUAGAGACAGGGUUUCACCAUGUUGGCCAGGCUGGUCUCAAAAUCCUGACCUCAGGUGAUCCGCCUGCCUCAGCCUCCCAAAGUGCUGGGAUUACAGCUUUCAGCUACCACGCCCAGCCUAAAAAAGCUUCUCUUAUGAUCUUAGGAUGGUCAUCAAAUGAAAGGAGUCCCUGGAGAAACUAUUACCUGGUCCCCACAGGAGUUAACCUGACUGCCCAAGUUCACCAGUCAGCAGCCUAGCGUGUCACCUUGUGAGUUAAAAUGCGUUUAAAUGUAUCUGUUUGUUGGUACAUGUUUGGUAAUGUUUUAAAUUGCCAAAAAUAAAUGUUAAAGGAGAUUUUACAUUUUCACACCUCUACAGAAAAUUCAGUCCCAAAAGAUGGGCUGACUUCUCAUUUUAGAGAUGAAGACAGAGAGGCCCAGAGAGGGGAAGAGAUUCAUCCAAGGCAAAGCCAGGCAGAGCCAGGUAGGAGAAGCACCUGGGAGGGAGCUCUGCUCUGCCAGCCACCCUGUGCUGUUUCUCACACCUCAUCAUAUGAGUGUAAAGUCCUACUUGAUGGAAAUAUGUGUCAUAUAUUGUCAUUUGUUCUUCCCAGUUGCCACGGUUACUCUCUUUAAUGGAUGAGGAAGUUGAGGCACAAAUUGGGCUAGGAGACUUGCUGAAGGUCCCAUGGGCAGUAAAUGACAAAGCUAGGGUGGGAGUGAUCCUAAGAUGCUGCUCCCACCGACAACUGUGAACCAAUAUGAGGGCCCCAUCUCCCUCCCAGGGGCCUUGCUAGCCCAGGGCUACAGACUCUUCCCAGCCACCCCUGCCCUGGAGAGUUAGGCCCGACCGACCACACCAGCUCGGGGAACAUAACAAAGGCCACGCGGAGGACAGAGUGGCCUGGCAGCGCCUCUGUGGACAUGCGACGCAGACAUCACAAGAUGAUUUAUGUAACCUCUUACAUAAUGGCAGCAUUUCUAUCAAAGACCAGCCCACGGCAGGCUGUCAGCUAUAAUCAGAGUGGACGUGCUUCUUGCUUCCUGGGAACAGGAGGCACCAGGUCAAAGCCAACCCCUCUGGCUGGCAGGCCGAGGGCUUCCUGUGCUGGUGAAGUUGCCUGGUGUGGCUGUGCCCUCAGAGGAGGCAGAGACCUUGUAAUGCCCCAGAGUAGUCACAGGCCGGCUCAGCCAGCCCCAGCACCCCUGGCUGCAGUCCACCUCCAGUGACAGAGACCACUAUCAAUGUGAUCAAGUCCCACGUUGGAAGUGCUUUCAACCAUAUUAUUGUACCAUGAAAGGGAGACGGGCUUCAGAGAUAAGAUCUUUGAACUCUGCCCCUACCUGGCUGUGUGAUCUUGAGGUAGUCACUCACCCUCUCUGGGCCUCAGUUUCCUGGUUGAAUUACAUCAUCAAUGCUUGACCUCUGUGCUGCACACAUGGGUAUUGAUAUGGUGCUAUCGUGAUACAGUGCUAUAUGAUAGCGUGCCACAAGUCGGUGCUACUUAUAUUUGGCAAAUGAUUUGGUUUUUCCUAGUAUAAAUCUGAGCAGAUUCAACAUCAUAAAAUCAGGUAAGCCCACUUACACUCCCCUGUGCAUUCUUGAAAGGGAUAUGAAUGAGUGGGGUUAGAGCUGGUGAGUCUGAGGACUCAAGCCCCAGGAAAAGAGGAGAGCUCAGCCCAUCUUCACCAUGUGGAGUCUCAGGAGGGAUGGGGUUCAGGCAAAGAGUUCUAUGUUGAAGAAGAGUGGUGCAAACAGACCUCUGUGUCUUGUUCCUGAUUUUAGGGGAAAAGCUUUUGGUCUUUCACCAUGGGAUAUGAUGUAGCUGUGGGAAUUUUGUAGAUCCUCUUUAUCAAGUUGAGGAUACUUUCUUCUAUUCCUAAUUUUCUGGGAGUUCUUGUCGUGAAUGGAUGUUAAAUUUUGUCAGAUGAAUUUUUUGCAUCAAUUUAUAUGAUCAUGUGUUUUUUUCUUUAGCCUAUUUACAAUUUGUACUAUGCUAAGAUAUAACAUCAUAACAUUUACUAUUUUAGCCUGCUUUUCUGUCUUUUCCUCCCUCCCUCCCUUUCUUCCUUCUUUCCUUCUUUCCUUCCUUCCUUCCUUCCUCUCUCUCUUUCUUUCUUUCUUCUUUUUUUGAGACAAGGUCUUGCUCUGUCACUGCAGUGCAGUGGCACAAUUGUGGCACACUGCGGUGUCUUGACCUCCUGGACUCAAGCAAUCCUCCCACCUCAGCGUCCCAAGUAGCUGAGACUACAGGUUCACGCCAACACAUCCAGCUAAUUUUUAAAAAUUUUUUGUAGAGAGGAGGUCUUACUGUUUUUCCCAGGCUGGUCUCAAACCCCUGAGCUCAAGCUAUCCUCCCAUCUCAGCCUCCAAAAGUGCUGGGAUUACAGGUAUGAGCCACCACACCUGACUGCAUUUCACUUCUAAUAUCAUAAUCUAUGUCUUCUCUCUUUUGGUCAGCCUUGCUAGAAGCUUGUUAAUUUGAUUGAUCUGUUUAAAGAACCAGCUCUUUUUUUAUUUUUUAUUUUUUAUUUUUAUUUCUUUUUCUGUUUUCAAUAUCAUUGACUUCUGCUUUUAUCUUUAUUACUUCCUUUCUUCUUCUUGCUUUGGGCUUAUUUCACUUUUCUUUUUCUGAGGGCAUGGCUUUGAUCAUUGAUUGAGAUCUUUCUUGUUUUCUAAUGUAGGCCUCUUAGUGCUAUAAAAUUUCCUCUCAGCACUGCUUUGGCCGCAUCUCACAAAUUUUGAUAUGUUGUGUUUGCAUUUUUCUUUGGCUCAGUAUAUUUUUGUUAUUUUCUUUGAGAUGUCCUCUUUGGCAACGAGAAAGACCUAUGUGGGACUUUCUCGGCAACAAGAAGACCCACGUGGGACUUCCCUGGGGAGUCAAUAAUGCUCACCAAGUGGUUCUAAAGCAUUUAGUGGACACCUACUAUGUACAGGACAUUCUCUGAAGUGCUGGGGGUAGCAAAAUGAAUACGAAAUCCAUGCCAACAGCCUUGAAAAUAGUUUACUCACCUCUUAUUAAAUGCUAAUAAUGUUUCAAAAACUUCUUCUGUAUUAACUCCUUCAUAAUGAGGUGGAUAUUGCUAUUACGCCUACUUUACAAAUGAGGACACUGAGGCACAGGUUGACUAAGUGACUUGACGAAGACCCCACAGCCAAAAGGGGUGAAGCUGAAGUGCAACCCAAGCCAAUUACUGUGAUUUUAUGAUUAAUCAUCAUGAUCAGUAAGCUCUGAGCCUCCUAUUCCUCACCCUUGAAGUGUAGCUAAGGGCAGUUCCCUGGCAGGGUUGAUAAUGAGGAUUAAGACAUCAGCCAUGAAAACUCAACAAACACAUCAAUCUCCUGGUUCAUAGUCGGUGCCCUUCCCUUGCCUUUGCCUCUCCCCUGGGCUGGAUAUAAUGGCUGCUCAGGUGAAGCUGUAAAGAAGGGCUGGUGGGACAAAAGUGACAUGGUAGUGGUGUCUCUGCCCUGCGGGGCAUCCCAGAUGGACCACCGCCCCACAUUCACGCCCCUGCUCUGCACGCUCCCCCACCCCCACACACCCAUCACCUUGACUGUGUCCUCCAGUACUGAUAGGCCUCGUCACUCUCCCAGGCACCAACCAGGAAUGAAAAGUCUGUUUGAUCUCAACUGUCAUCUCGGGUUUGAUUGGCGAUGACUGGCAGGUGCCCUGUGGAGAGAUUCCAAGGGCUCAGUAGACAGAACACUCUGAUCUACUAGUGAUGUCUUCCCUGAGGGAGGAUGGAGAUGAAGCCGGCUGUGUGCCAAGUGUCCCUGGAUCCAGGUCAGAAUCACAGGAUGGGAAGCCAGGGAUGUCAAUACUUGGCAUUCUGGUGAUCCAAGCCUGCCAUUUUAAUCAAGGGAUUGGAGCCCCUUGAGAAAAGCAGUGACUUAUUCAAGCACAUAUUCCUGUGACCAAGAUUCAAGUUUCCCACCUCCCAGGCCAGAAUUCAUCAGGUCCAUUCAACAGACAUUUGUUACUAAGUUUCAACUCCAGGCCAGGCACUGACUUAGCCAUAAUAGAUAUCUUACACAUCUCAUAGUAUUUAUUCUCACAACAACCUUCUGUGAUAGAUCCUAAUGUCAUUCCCAUCUGGCAGAUGAGGAAACUGGGGCUCAGGUAGACUAAAGACCUUAACAGCUAGUGAGAGACAGAGCCAAGAUUUGAAUCCUUACCUCCUGACUCUGAACCCAAAUCCUUCUAACAUGCUGCUUUGUUUCAG